rnacentral:lncRNA from 1 species
GCUGUCACUUGUAGAACAGAUGUACCCAUUUCAGACAUCUCUGGCACAGUAACAAUGUAUGGUCCAUCUGUAAAUUUUGGUGCAUUGUCAUUGAUAUCCUGUACUUUGAUAAUGAAUUCAGAUUCAGGCUCAAGUGGCUUGUUUGUCCUUCUAUCAAUAGCUUGGGCAUGAAGCACAUAAUGUGUCUUCUGUUCUCGAUCUAGGCUUUUGGUUGAAUGGAUGUCUCCCGUCGUGUCAUCAAUAAUAAAUAUAGUUCCUGCUCCUUCUCCAGUAAGAAUAUAUUUGACUGAUCCAUCACCUUUGUCGGAAUUGGAGUGCAGCUUUCCUACAUAUUGAGGAUCUGGUCCCAUGUGUUCUUCUAAAACAAAGAACUGAUUCCACACCCAUCCACGCUUG